rnacentral:rRNA from 1 species
GUGAAAUUGUUGAAAGGGAAACGAUUAAAGUCAGUCGUACGAACGGGAAUUAAUCUUUUGAGGAUGGAUUUGUGAGAUUCAAAGUGUCUUUAUUUCUACAAUCUUCUUUUUUGGGUGCAUGUUCGCGUAAUGUAGGUCCGUAUCGGUUUUGAUUGUUAUAAAAUAACUGGAGGAAUGUGUAAUGUAUUAUAGCCUUUGGUAGAUGUAACGGUUGGGAUUGCAACGAAUACCCUUGUGGGCUAUCCGCCUUGUCACACUGAUUUCGAAAGCUUUAUUGUUAUGGUGUUAUAGUGUGCGAUCAAGAGGUUAGAACGGAUUAAAUUCGCUAAGGAAGUUGACGUAAUGGCUUUAAACGAC